GCUGGGGAGGAACCCAGGCUGGGGGAGAAGUUAAAGCCAGAGGAGGGGCAGGAAUGUCUGAGGUGGCAACACUUCUCUUCAGCCAGACAGCACUGGCCAGUUUGGAGUCUGUCCAUCCUGCAGGCCACAAGCUCUGGAUGAGGAACUUGAGGCAAGUCACCAGCCCCUGAUCAUUUCGCCUAAAAGAGCAAGGACUAGAGUUCCUGACCUCCAGGCCAGUCCCUGAUCCCUGACCUAAUGUUAUCGCGGAAUGAUGGCCCAGGGCUCCUCAGAGCAGGAACUCCACUAUGCAUCUCUGCAGAGGCUGCCAGUGCCCAGCAGUGAGGGACCUGACCUCAGGGGCAGAGACAAGAGAGGCACCAAGGAGGAUCCAAGAGCUGACUAUGCCUGCAUUGCUGAGAACAAACCCACCUGAGCACCCCAGACACCUUCCUCAACCCAGGCGGGUGGACAGGGUCCCCCUGUGGUCCAGCCAGUAAAAACCAUGGUCCCCCCACUUCUGUGUCUCAGUCCUCUCAGUCCAUCUCGAGCCUCCGUUCAAAUUGAUCAUCAUCAAAACUUAUGUGGCUUUUUGACCUUUGAAUAGGGAAUUUUUUAAAUUUUUUAAAAAUUAAAAUAAAAAAAACACAUGGCUCACCCUUCCACCCA
rnacentral:lncRNA from 1 species